AUUGAACGCUGGCGGCAGGCCUAACACAUGCAAGUCGAACGAGUGGCGGACGGGUGAGCAAUGUCUGGGCAACUGCCUGACGGAGGGGGAUAACUGCUGGAAACGGUAGCUAAUACUGCUAACCAUCGGAUGUGCCCAGAUGGGUUUAGCUAGUAGGUGGGGUAAAGGCUCACCUAGGCGACGAUCCCUAGCUGGUCUGAGAGGAUGACCAGCCACACUGGAACUGAGACACGGUCCAGACUCCUACGGGAGGCAGCAGUGGGGAAUCUUGCACAAUGGGCACAAGCCUGAUGCAGCCAUGCCGCGUGUAUGAAGAAGGCCUUCGGGUUGUAAAGUACUUUCAGCGGGGAGGCGUUACCCGCAGAAGAAGCACCGGCUAACUCCGUGCCAGCAGCCGCGGUAAUUC
rnacentral:rRNA from 1 species